AUUAUUUUGGCAGAUAAGUGCAUUGGAUUUAGGUUCCUUUUAUGUAGAAUAAAUUUUUACAGAUAAUA
rnacentral:tRNA from 1 species